UGGGGAAUAUUGGACAAUGGGCGCAAGCCUGAUCCAGCCAUGCCGCGUGAGUGAUGAAGGCCCUAGGGUUGUAAAGCUCUUUCACCGGUGAAGAUAAUGACGGUAACCGGAGAAGAAGCCCCGGCUAACUUCGUGCCAGCAGCCGCGGUAAUACGAAGGGGGCUAGCGUUGUUCGGAUUUACUGGGCGUAAAGCGCACGUAGGCGGACUUUUAAGUCAGGGGUGAAAUCCCGGGGCUCAACCCCGGAACUGCCUUUGAUACUGGAAGUCUUGAGUAUGGUAGAGGUGAGUGGAAUUCCGAGUGUAGAGGUGAAAUUCGUAGAUAUUCGGAGGAACACCAGUGGCGAAGGCGGCUCACUGGACCAUUACUGACGCUGAGGUGCCAAAGCGUGGGGAGCAAACAGG
rnacentral:rRNA from 1 species